rnacentral:rRNA from 1 species
AAUAGAUACCCCGGUAGUCCACGCCGUAAACGAUGAGUGCUAAGUGUUAGAGGGUUUCCGCCCUUUAGUGCUGCAGCAAACGCAUUAAGCACUCCGCCUGGGGAGUACGGUCGCAAGACUGAAACUCAAAGGAAUUGACGGGGGCCCGCACAAGCGGUGGAGCAUGUGGUUUAAUUCGAAGCAACGCGAAGAACCUUACCAGGUCUUGACAUCCCGUGACAACUCUAGAGAUAGGGCUUUCCCCUUCGGGGGACACGGUGACAGGUGGUGCAUGGUUGUCGUCAGCUCGUGUCGUGAGAUGUUGGGUUAAGUCCCGCAACGAGCGCAACCCUUGAUCUUAGUUGCCAGCAUUCAGUUGGGCACUCUAAGGUGACUGCCGGUGACAAACCGGAGGAAGGUGGGGAUGACGUCAAAUCAUCAUGCCCCUUAUGACCUGGGCUACACACGUGCUACAAUGGAUGGUACAAAGGGCAGCGAAACCGCGAGGUGGAGCUAAUCCCUUAAAGCCGGUCUCAGUUCGGAUCGCAGGCUGCAACG